UACGAAGGGUGCAAGCGUUAUUCGGAAUCAUUGGGCGUAAAGCGCGCGCAGGCGGAUCAGCAAGUCAGGUGUGAAAUCUCGAAGCUCAACUUCGAAACUGCGCCUGAAACUGCUAGUCUAGAGUGUCGGAGGGGGUAGGGGAAUUUCACGUGUAGGGGUAAAAUCCGUAGAGAUGUGAAGGAACACCGGAGGCGAAGGCGCCUGCCUGGACGACUAU
rnacentral:rRNA from 1 species